AUUGAACGCUGGCGGCAUGCCUUACACAUGCAAGUCGAACGGUAGAGGGGGCAACCCCUUGAGAGUGGCGAACGGGUGAGUAAAGCAUCGGAACGUGCCCAGUAGUGGGGGAUAGCCCGGCGAAAGCCGGAUUAAUACCGCAUACGACCUACGGGUGAAAGGGGGGGAUCGCAAGACCUCUCGCUAUUGGAGCGGCCGAUGUCAGAUUAGGUAGUUGGUGGGGUAAAGGCCUACCAAGCCGACGAUCUGUAGCUGGUCUGAGAGGACGACCAGCCACACUGGGACUGAGACACGGCCCAGACUCCUACGGGAGGCAGCAGUGGGGAAUUUUGGACAAUGGGCGCAAGCCUGAUCCAGCCAUGCCGCGUGC
rnacentral:rRNA from 1 species